UACGGGGGGGGCAAGCGUUGUUCGGAAUUACUGGGCGUAAAGGGCUCGUAGGUGGCCAACUAAGUCAGACGUGAAAUCCCUCGGCUUAACCGGGGAACUGCGUCUGAUACUGGAUGGCUUGAGUUCGGGAGAGGGAUGCGGAAUUCCAGGUGUAGCGGUGAAAUGCGUAGAUAUCUGGAGGAACACCGGUGGCGAAGGCGGCCUGCUGGGCAGUUGCUGACACUGAGGCGCGACAGCGUGGGGAGCAAACAGG
rnacentral:rRNA from 1 species